rnacentral:rRNA from 1 species
AACGAACGCUGGCGGCAUGCCUAACACAUGCAAGUCGAACGAUAUCUUCGGGUCUAGUGGCGCACGGGUGCGUUACGCGUGGGAAUAUGCCCUUUGGUUCGGAUUAACAGUUGGAAACGACUGCUAAUACCGGAUGAUGACGAAAGUCCAAAGAUUUAUCGCUAGAGGAUGAGCCCGCGUGGGGUUAGCUAGUUGGUGUGGUAAAGGCGCACCAAGGGGACGAUACUUAGCUGGUCUGAGAGGAUGAUCAGCCACACUGGGACUGAGACACGGCCCAGACUCCUACGGGAGGCAGCAGUGGGGAAUAUUGGACAAUGGGCGAAAGCCUGAUCCAGCAAUGCCGCGUGAGUGAUGAAGGCCUUAGGGUUGUAAAGCUCUUUUACCCGGGAUGAUAAUGACAGUACCGGGAGAAUAAGCUCCGGCUAACUCCGUGCCAGCCGCCGCUGUAA